rnacentral:rRNA from 1 species
UUUGAUCCUGGCUCAGGAUGAACGCUAGCGGCAGGCCUAACACAUGCAAGUCGAGGGGCAGCGAGAUCAAAGCUUGCUUUGAUUGUCGGCGACCGGCGCACGGGUGCGUAACGCGUAUGCAACCUACCCAAAACAGGGGGAUAACACUGAGAAAUUGGUACUAAUACCCCAUAACAACAGAGGAGGCAUCUCCUUUGUUUGAAAACUCCGGUGGUUUUGGAUGGGCAUGCGUUGUAUUAGCUAGUUGGUGAGGUAACGGCUCACCAAGGCGACGAUACAUAGGGGGACUGAGAGGUUAACCCCCCACAUUGGUACUGAGACACGGACCAAACUCCUACGGGAGGCAGCAGUGAGGAAUAUUGGUCAAUGGACGCAAGUCUGAACCAGCCAUGCCGCGUGCAGGAUGACGGCUCUAUGAGUUGUAAACUGCUUUUGUAUGAGGGUAAACUCAUCUACGUGUAGGUGACUGAAAGUAUCAUACGAAUAAGGAUCGGCUAACUCCGUGCCAGCAGCCGCGGUAAUACGGAGGAUUCAAGCGUUAUCCGGAAUUAUUGGGUUUAAAGGGUGCGUAGGCGGUUUGAUAAGUUAGAGGUGAAAUAUUAGGGCUUAACCCUGAAACUGCCUCUAAUACUGUCGAGCUAGAGAGUAGUUGCGGUAGGCGGAAUGUAUGGUGUAGCGGUGAAAUGCUUAGAGAUCAUACAGAACACCGAUUGCGAAGGCAGCUUACCCAAACUAUAUCUGACGUUGAGGCACGAAAGCGUGGGUAGCAAACAGGAUUAGAUACCCUGGUAGUCCACGCAGUAAACGAUGAUAACUCGCUGUCGGCGAUACACAGUCGGUGGCCAAGCGAAAGCGAUAAGUUACCCACCUGGGGAGUACGUUCGCAAGAAUGAAACUCAAAGGAAUUGACGGGGGCCCGCACAAGCGGAGGAACAUGUGGUUUAAUUCGAUGAUACGCGAGGAACCUUACCCGGGCUUGAAAGUUACUGACGAUUCUGGAAACAGGAUUUCCCUUCGGGGCAGGAAACUAGGUGCUGCAUGGUUGUCGUCAGCUCGUGCCGUGAGGUGUCGGGUUAAGUCCCAUAACGAGCGCAACCCCUACCGUUAGUUGCCAUCAGGUCAAGCUGGGCACUCUGGCGGGACUGCCGGUGUAAGCCGAGAGGAAGGUGGGGAUGACGUCAAAUCAGCACGGCCCUUACGUCCGGGGCUACACACGUGUUACAAUGGUAGGUACAGAGGGCAGCUACCCAGCGAUGGGAUGCAAAUCUCGAAAACCUAUCUCAGUUCGGAUUGGAGGCUGAAACUCGCCUCCAUGAAGUUGGAUUCGCUAGUAAUCGCGCAUCAGCCAUGGCGCGGUGAAUACGUUCCCGGGCCUUGUACACACCGCCCGUCAAGCCAUGGAAGCUGGGGGUGCCUGAAGUUCGUGACCGCAAGGAGCGACCUAGGGCAAAACCGGUGACUGGGGCUAAGUCGUAACAAGGUAGCCGUAG